GAUGAAGAACGUAGUGAAAUGCGAUAAGUAAUGUGAAUUGCAGAGUUCAGUGAAUCAUCGAAUCUUUGAACGCACAUUGCGCCCCCUGGUAUUCCGGGGGGCAUGCCUGUCCGAGCGUCAUUGCUGCCCUCAAGCACGGCUUGUGUGUUGGGCCUCCGUCCUCCUCCCGGGGGACGGGCCCGAAAGGCAGCGGCGGCACCGCGUCCGGUCCUCGAGCGUAUGGGGCUUCGUCACCCGCUCUUGUAGGCCCGGCCGGCGCUUGCCGACACAUCAAUCUUUUUUCCAGGUUGACCUCGGAUCAGGUAGGGAUACCCGCUGAACUUAAGCAUAUCAAUAAGCGGAGGA
rnacentral:misc_RNA from 1 species